UACAGAGGUCUCAAGCGUUGUUCGGAUUCAUUGGGCGUAAAGGGCGCGUAGGCGGCGGGGUCAGUCGGGUGUGAAAUCUUGGGGCUUAACCCCGAAACGGCACUCGAAACUGACGAGCUUGAGUGCCGGAGAGGGUCGCGGAAUUCCCGGUGUAGAGGUGAAAUUCGUAGAUAUCGGGAGGAACACCAGUGGCGAAGGCGGCGACCUGGACGGACACUGACGCUGAGACGCGAAAGCGUGGGGAGCGAACAGG
rnacentral:rRNA from 1 species